rnacentral:tRNA from 2 species
GCGGAAGUAGCUCAGUUGGUAGAGUGGAUGCUUCCCAAGCCUCAGGUCGCGAGUUCGAAUCUCGUCUUCCGCUCAA